rnacentral:rRNA from 1 species
AGAGUUUGAUCCUGGCUCAGGACGAACGCUGGCGGCGUGCCUAAUACAUGCAAGUAGAACGCUGAAGAGAGGAGCUUGCUCUUCUUGGAUGAGUUGCGAACGGGUGAGUAACGCGUAGGUAACCUGCCUUGUAGCGGGGGAUAACUAUUGGAAACGAUAGCUAAUACCGCAUAACAAUGGAUGACACAUGUCAUUUAUUUGAAAGGGGCAAUUGCUCCACUACAAGAUGGACCUGCGUUGUAUUAGCUAGUAGGUGAGGUAAUGGCUCACCUAGGCGACGAUACAUAGCCGACCUGAGAGGGUGAUCGGCCACACUGGGACUGAGACACGGCCCAGACUCCUACGGGAGGCAGCAGUAGGGAAUCUUCGGCAAUGGGGGCAACCCUGACCGAGCAACGCCGCGUGAGUGAAGAAGGUUUUCGGAUCGUAAAGCUCUGUUGUAAGUCAAGAACGGGUGUGAGAGUGGAAAGUUCACACUGUGACGGUAGCUUACCAGAAAGGGACGGCUAACUACGUGCCAGCAGCCGCGGUAAUACGUAGGUCCCGAGCGUUGUCCGGAUUUAUUGGGCGUAAAGCGAGCGCAGGCGGUUUGAUAAGUCUGAAGUUAAAGGCUGUGGCUCAACCAUAGUUCGCUUUGGAAACUGUCAAACUUGAGUGCAGAAGGGGAGAGUGGAAUUCCAUGUGUAGCGGUGAAAUGCGUAGAUAUAUGGAGGAACACCGGUGGCGAAAGCGGCUCUCUGGUCUGUAACUGACGCUGAGGCUCGAAAGCGUGGGGAGCGAACAGGAUUAGAUACCCUGGUAGUCCACGCCGUAAACGAUGAGUGCUAGGUGUUGGAUCCUUUCCGGGAUUCAGUGCCGAAGCUAACGCAUUAAGCACUCCGCCUGGGGAGUACGACCGCAAGGUUGAAACUCAA